rnacentral:SRP_RNA from 1 species
CCGUGCUAAACGGGGCGUUAGCGGUGUCUUGUAACCCCAAAUCCGCUAUAGGGGGGUUGAUGCUGCCGCUUGAGGGUAUGCUUUGUGAGGUCAGCCCCGCAUAAGCGGCGUUGACGAUCGGGUCCCGCGCGGCGGUCUGCCGCGAAGCUUGUCAGGUCCGGAAGGAAGCAGCAAUAAGCGGUCCUGUACCGGGCGCCGCGGGAGCGCCUGAUCCGAGUUGGCUGUUCGGGUAACGCUCGGAAGGUAUUAUUCGAAGCGCAGCGCACGG